GCCUUCCUGUGGCGCAGUGGCUCACUGCGCUUGGCUGUUAACCAGAAGGUUGGUGGUUCGCACCCACCCAGGGAUG